rnacentral:rRNA from 2 species
GAUGAACGCUGGCGGCGUGCCUAAUACAUGCAAGUCGAACGAGUUCUCGUUGAUGAUCGGUGCUUGCACCGAGAUUCAACAUGGAACGAGUGGCGGACGGGUGAGUAACACGUGGGUAACCUGCCCUUAAGUGGGGGAUAACAUUUGGAAACAGAUGCUAAUACCGCAUAGAUCCAAGAACCGCAUGGUUCUUGGCUGAAAGAUGGCGUAAGCUAUCGCUUUUGGAUGGACCCGCGGCGUAUUAGCUAGUUGGUGAGGUAAUGGCUCACCAAGGCGAUGAUACGUAGCCGAACUGAGAGGUUGAUCGGCCACAUUGGGACUGAGACACGGCCCAAACUCCUACGGGAGGCAGCAGUAGGGAAUCUUCCACAAUGGACGCAAGUCUGAUGGAGCAACGCCGCGUGAGUGAAGAAGGCUUUCGGGUCGUAAAACUCUGUUGUUGGAGAAGAAUGGUCGGCAGAGUAACUGUUGUCGGCGUGACGGUAUCCAACCAGAAAGCCACGGCUAACUACGUGCCAGCAGCCGCGGUAAUACGUAGGUGGCAAGCGUUAUCCGGAUUUAUUGGGCGUAAAGCGAGCGCAGGCGGUUUUUUAAGUCUGAUGUGAAAGCCCUCGGCUUAACCGAGGAAGCGCAUCGGAAACUGGGAAACUUGAGUGCAGAAGAGGACAGUGGAACUCCAUGUGUAGCGGUGAAAUGCGUAGAUAUAUGGAAGAACACCAGUGGCGAAGGCGGCUGUCUGGUCUGUAACUGACGCUGAGGCUCGAAAGCAUGGGUAGCGAACAGGAUUAGAUACCCUGGUAGUCCAUGCCGUAAACGAUGAAUGCUAGGUGUUGGAGGGUUUCCGCCCUUCAGUGCCGCAGCUAACGCAUUAAGCAUUCCGCCUGGGGAGUACGACCGCAAGGUUGAAACUCAAAGGAAUUGACGGGGGCCCGCACAAGCGGUGGAGCAUGUGGUUUAAUUUGAAGCAACGCGAAGAACCUUACCAGGUCUUGACAUCUUUUGAUCACCUGAGAGAUCAGGUUUCCCCUUCGGGGGCAAAAUGACAGGUGGUGCAUGGUUGUCGUCAGCUCGUGUCGUGAGAUGUUGGGUUAAGUCCCGCAACGAGCGCAACCCUUAUGACUAGUUGCCAGCAUUUAGUUGGGCACUCUAGUAAGACUGCCGGUGACAAACCGGAGGAAGGUGGGGAUGACGUCAAAUCAUCAUGCCCCUUAUGACCUGGGCUACACACGUGCUACAAUGGAUGGUACAACGAGUUGCGAGACCGCGAGGUCAAGCUAAUCUCUUAAAGCCAUUCUCAGUUCGGACUGUAGGCUGCAACUCGCCUACACGAAGUCGGAAUCGCUAGUAAUCGCGGAUCAGCACGCCGCGGUGAAUACGUUCCCGGGCCUUGUACACACCGCCCGUCACACCAUGAGAGUUUGUAACACCCGAAGCCGGUGGCGUAACCCUUUUAGGGAGCGAGCCGUCUAAGGUGGGACAAAUGAUUAGGGUG